GAUGAACGCUGGCGGCGUGCCUAAUACAUGCAAGUCGAGCGAACAGAUAAGGAGCUUGCUCCUUUGACGUUAGCGGCGGACGGGUGAGUAACACGUGGGUAACCUACCUAUAAGACUGGGAUAACUCCGGGAAACCGGGGCUAAUGCCGGAUAACAUUUAGAACCGCAUGGUUCUAAAGUGAAAGAUGGUUUUGCUAUCACUUAUAGAUGGACCCGCGCCGCAUUAGCUAGUUGGUAAGGUAACGGCUUACCAAGGCAACGAUACGUAGCCGACCUGAGAGGGUGAUCGGCCACACUGGAACUGAGACACGGUCCAGACUCCUACGGGAGGCAGCAGUAGGGAAUCUUCCGCAAUGGGCGAAAGCCUGACGGAGCAACGCCGCGUGAGUGAUGAAGGUCUUCGGAUCGUAAAACUCUGUUAUUAGGGAAGAACAAAUGUGUAAGUAACUGUGCACGUCUUGACGGUACCUAAUCAGAAAGCCACGGCUAACUACGUG
rnacentral:rRNA from 1 species